GCAAGUCGAGCGCACUCUUCGGAGUGAGCGGCGGACGGGUUAGUAACGCGUGGGAACAUACCCUUUUCUACGGAAUAGCCUCGGGAAACUGAGAGUAAUACCGUAUACGCCCUUCGGGGGAAAGAUUUAUCGGUGAAGGAUUGGCCCGCGUUAGAUUAGAUAGUUGGUGGGGUAACGGCUCACCAAGCCGACGAUCCAUAGCUGGUUUGAGAGGAUGAUC
rnacentral:rRNA from 1 species